rnacentral:rRNA from 1 species
CUACGGGUUGCUGCAGUGAGGAAUUUUGCGCAAUGGGGGAAACCCUGACGCAGCAACGCCGCGUGAGCGAAGAAGGCCCUCGGGUCGUAAAGCUCUGUCAAGUGGGAAAAAAAUCUUUUGAUCAAUAGUCAAAAGACUUGAUGGUACCACUGGAGGAAGCACCGGCUAACUCCGUGCCAGCAGCCGCGGUAAUACGGAGGGUGCAAGCGUUGUUCGGAUUUACUGGGCGUAAAGAGCGUGUAGGCGGUUUAGCAAGUCAGAUGUGAAAGCCCGGGGCUCAACCCGGGAAGUGCAUUUGGAACUGCUUCACUAGAGUAUGGGAGAGGAGAUUGGAAUUCCUGGGGUAGAGGUGAAAUGCGUAGAUAUCAGGAGGAACACCCGUGGCGAAGGCGAUUCUCUGGACCAAUACUGACGCUGAGACGCGAAAGCGUGGGGAGCAAACAGGAUUAGAUACCCCCGUAGUC